GAUGAACGCUGGCGGCGUGCCUAAUACGUGCAAGUCGAGCGAACAGAUGAGGAGCUUGCUCCUCUGACGUUAGCGGCGGACGGGUGAGUAACACGUGGAUAACCUACCUAUAAGACUGGGAUAACUUCGGGAAACCGGAGCUAAUACCGGAUAAUAUAUUGAACCGCAUGGUUCAAUAGUGAAAGACGGUUUUGCUGUCACUUAUAGAUGGAUCCGCGCCGCAUUAGCUAGUUGGUAAGGUAACGGCUUACCAAGGCAACGAUGCGUAGCCGACCUGAGAGGGUGAUCGGCCACACUGGAACUGAGACACGGUCCAGACUCCUACGGGAGGCAGCAGUAGGGAAUCUUCCGCAAUGGGCGAAAGCCUGACGGAGCAACGCCGCGUGAGUGAUGAAGGUCUUCGGAUCGUAAAACUCUGUUAUUAGGGUAGAACAAAUGUGUAAGUAACUAUGCACGUCUUGACGGUACCUAAUCAGAAAGCCACGGCUAACUACGUG
rnacentral:rRNA from 1 species